GAGGCUCAAGAGCCGAGGAACUGGGAGGGAGGCAGUGCUGGUGAAGGCUCAAGAGCCGAGGAACUGGGAGGGAGGCAGUGCUGGUGGAGGCUCUGGAGUCGAGGAACUGGGAGGGAGGCAGUGCUGGUGAAAGCUCUAGAGCCGAGGAACUGGGAGGGAGGCAGUGCUGGUUGUAAUAGCCAGAGGCGGAGAACUGCGCGACAGGCGGCCUCACGAGAAGCGGCAGGAGUGCUGACUGGAAGCCAGACCGUGCGCGCAGUUUCUGUGGGGUCGGAAAGGGAAGGGGCGUUGUGUGCAGGUUCUGUUAGAACCGCGCAUAAAGCUUAAAAUGUGCUUCUCAUUUCUGGUCCUAGAGGGAACAUAAGCUUGGUCUCGCGCGUCUCAGCCGGGUCUUUAGGCCGCUCGGAGGCCCCGCGCUAAGACAGGCGCCCCGAGCCGAGCUGCAGCGCGCAGAGCAAGGCGAGGAGACGCCGGGGCGGCCGGCAGGACCUGCAGAAAUCUCAGGCUGUCCGAUUCUGCACUUCUCAAUCCCCUCCUGGCGGGAGUCUGAGCAGGGGAUCCACAGAGGAGGCCGC